rnacentral:lncRNA from 1 species
AUUUAAAUAUUUUUUUUAAAAAAGAUUUCUUCUGAAUUAAUCUGACCAUUGCAUAAGUUGGGGAAGCAAAGACCAAAUAUUUUGUAAGAAUAAUCUUUACACCCUAUAAAUUAUUAUUCUUUCCCAUUUUCUUUGCAAUAUCAUGUUUUGUGUUAGAUGACUUCUUUAAAAUGUUAGAAAAUAUCUCAAGAAUAUGAGAUUUAUGAUUAUACUUACAAGAAAAUGGGAAUUGUGAUGGGUAAAUACAUAAACUUUCUUGGAUCUACCAUGUACCAGACAUUUCACCAAAUCCUUUACAAAUAUGUUACCACCUACUUGGCUCAACAACACUGAAAACUGGAUGCAAUGCCCAUUUUAAAGAUGAGGGAACUUAGUCCCUGAAAGCUUAGGAAUGGAGUAGACUGUGCCAUGUGAAUACUGAGGCAGCAGGUAAGGAUUCAUCACCUCUUCCAUCAAUGCCCUUUUGAGUCCAUUUCUCUGUUGCUCUUACCACUCAGCUUAGCUUAUUUGCUUGCUGCCUUGAAAUUCUCUGUAAGCAGAUAUAUUUAACUAUGGACAAGGGAGUCCCUAUACAUAACCUUGCAUAAGAAAGUGCUUUGUUGCUAAGUGUGAUGAUUCAUAGAGCAAACUCAGGAAACUGAGGAAGUAAAAUUGGCCCAAGUUUGAGGCUUACAGAAUGAGUUUGUCAAUUCACUCCGAGCAAAAGAGUAAGAAUCUGUCCUUAAAAAUAAUGAAAAACAAAAAACAAAAAACAACCCUGCUUUUGAAGUUUCAAGGAAGAAACAGUAUAGUUUUUUUUAAUUUCUUUUUUCUUUCUUUGUAUAUUUUGUUAAUAUACAUUUCAAAUGUUAUCCCCUUUCCUGUCCCCCCAAAACCCCUAUCCAAUCCCCCCUGCUUCUAUGAAGGUGUUACCCCAACCACCCACCCACUCCUACCUCUCCACCCUGGCAUUCCCCUACAGUGGGUAUUGAGCCAUCACAGGACCAAGGGCCUCUCCUCUCUUUGAUGCCCGACAAGGCCAUCCUCUGCUACAUAUGCAGCUGGAGCCAUGGGUCCCUCCAUGUGUACUCUUUGGUUGGUGGUUUAGUCCCAGGGAGUUCUGUGGGCCAGGGGGUGGGGGUCUGGUUGGUUGGUUUUGUUGUUCAUCCUGUGGGGUUGCAAACCCCUUCAGCUCCUUAUAGAUUUUAAAGAAUCAAUAUAUUAGACUGGCAUGUAAAAAUGAGAGGUUGGCUUGGCUUUCUAUUCUGUGUACCUGGGAUUGAGUUAGGUAACUGGUAAAUGGCACCAGUCCACAUAGACACUGGAAUACAUAUAUGUAUACUUUGUCUUAAGCCAGCCUCGCUUUCUUCUGCAUCCACUGCUCCCAUUGAAGUUACUAUUUCUAAAAACCAAAAUGAUUAAUAAAUGAAAAAUGAUUAAUAAAUAUUCUGAUAAUCUGUUAUAUUCAUAGUACUGUUAUUAGUUUAUUUCCACAUCCUUACCAAUUGCUUUGUAUAUCAACAUAUUAGCAAAAAUAUACC